UACGUAGGGGGCAAGCGUUGUCCGGAAUCAUUGGGCGUAAAGAGCGUGUAGGCGGCCCGAUAAGUCCGCUCUGAAAGUCCAGGGCUCAACCCUGGAAAGCGGGUGGAUACUGCCGGGCUAGAAUCCGGAAGAGGCGAGUGGAAUUCCUGGUGUAGCGGUGGAAUGCGCAGAUAUCAGGAGGAACACCAAUAGCGAAGGCAGCUCGCUGGGACGGUAUUGACGCUAAGGCGCGAAAGCGUGGGGAGCAAACAGG
rnacentral:rRNA from 1 species